GCACUUAAAGUGGCGGUGUUUGUCCGAGA
rnacentral:piRNA from 1 species